rnacentral:rRNA from 1 species
AAAUCUCGUGCCAGCCACCGCGGUUAUACGAGAGGCCCUAGUUGAUAGCCACGGCGCAAAGAGUGGUUAAGGAGGCCAAUCAAUAAAGUCAAACACUUCCUAGGCCGUUACACGUUUUCUAGAAACACGAAGCCCAAUUACACGAAAGCAACUUUAUCCCACAACCUGACCCCACGAAAGCUAAGAAACAAACUAGGAUUAGAUACCCCACUA